UACGGAGGGUGCAAGCGUUAUCCGGAUUCACUGGGUUUAGAGGGUGCGUAGGUGGGUUGGUAAGUCAGUGGUGAAAUCCCCGAGCUUAACUUGGGAACUGCCAUUGAUACUAUCAGUCUUGAAUACCGUGGAGGUCAGCGGAAUAUGUCAUGUAGCGGUGAAAUGCUUAGAUAUGACAUAGAACACCAAUUGCGAAGGCAGCUGGCUACACGGAUAUUGACACUGAGGCACGAAAGCGUGGGGAUCAAACAGG
rnacentral:rRNA from 1 species